UCACCAGAGUUAUUGCUGCCAAUAACUCUAUGUUCUAUUUUUAUAGAUGAUAAACUUGGCCAUAUCUAUUAUUAUCUAAACCUGCCUCUCUCCUAGAAAUGGCAACUUAAAGAAGUUUAUGCUGCGACUAGCCUGUUAUGUGCUGUUUUUAAUGCCAUCCAUUUUACAACUGACUCAGGGAUCAUCUGUUUAGUUUUGUUUCUCUCCUAGAUAUAGCCACUAACGGAGCUACAAAUGCCAUGAACUAUACUUAUUAAUAUUGAAGGUACCUCUGGACCAGCAGUUCUGUGUUAUUUUCUGCUCUGUCUUUUCAAACCCCUUGUAGAUCAAGGGAGACGGCCGCUAACACUGAACCAGGUUCUCCUGAAGGUUUCUACCUGUUAAAGAGGUGUUUUCCUCUCCUUUGUCGCCACAUGCUUGGUCAGUAUGAGGGAUUGCUGCAAAGUCAAAAUAGAGGAAAACCUCUGGACAACUUUGGUUGGAUGUAUUUCUCACUAAGGAUCUGGACCCAUGGACACAGAGCCUCUCAGGUGCUCUUAUCUUUUUCCAAGACUGGGACGCACUGUGCCAGCCACAUGAAGAGUACAUCAAUGCCAUGACUGAGUG